UAGCAGCUUAUGCGUUCUAUGCGAUUGUGUAAUUGCAUAUGGCGGUUGUUGACAUUGUGAAAAGUUUUGAAUUCUAAUUUUACAUAAAAAUGUCAGUGUGAAGAUAUGGAAGAGACAUUAUUAGAGUUCCCAGUCUUAAAGAAACGCAGAGCGUCAUCACAUUAUUUCUUACUCAGGAAAUAAUUAAUAAAGUUCAAACAGAUCAAAAGUUGCUGCAAUCGCUUGUAAAUAGAGAAAUCAGUAAGCAGAAUAAUUCUAUUGACUUCUCAAGUUCUUUAGAAAUUAGUCAGCCUUCAUCAGCAUUGUCUGAAAAUGUUGAUUCCGAAGAAAAUGAUUGUUCGACGAAUACAAAAGGAUUUGUAUGGUCUGAUGCUGCAGUAUAUUUACUAUUAGAAUUGUAUCGGGAGAAAGAAUCCGACUUCAAUUCGGGAUCUAAAAGAAAUGCUACUAUUUGGGCUGAAUUAGCAGAAAAAA